ACACUCCCACACCAUGGAGCCAAUCGAGCCCUGGGUUAGUGGGAGGCGAUGCCUGAAGAAGCGGUAGAGGAGGGCGGCUGUGAGCAAAGAUCUUUGGCUGUGAGGAGGUAAAGUUCGGGCAAAAUGUUUCUUACUGCAUUUUUGCUUCGAAAAGGAAUUCCGGGCAAACAAUGGAUAGGGAAAUACAGACGUCCAAGAAAUAUUACGUGGCAAAUGAAACGUGGUUUCAUUCGGAGGCUGGAGAUUGAAAAGGAGACCGAAUACUGGCUCAGCCGCCCCUGGAUGACCAUUGAACAAGAAAGAGGGAAUGCAGCAUCACGCAGAGCUGAACAGUGGGAAGCCUUCAAAGCUGCUAAAGCUGCAACUUUCCCUGCACCAAAAUACAUUGAAGACCAUCUAAACCACCUAAAUGUAACCAAAAAAUGGGGAAAUUGAAAUGUUUGAAGAAAUCUUUUUUCGAUUGUGACUGCAGAAUUUUUUUUUUAAAUAAGGAAAAGCUUCCUGAUAAACUAACAUACAGAGCCAUUGGUUAUGUAUAAUUUCUGAAAGUGUUUGAAAUUGCUAUCAUGCAUAGAGUAAUAGGAUAAUUUAAUGAAUGAUAUCAAGGAAGUUUGUACUUAUGUUCUACUGGUCCUGAUGAAAUUGUAUAUCUAUUAGGAAACAUAAAUUAAAUAUUUGUGAACUUUA